AGUUGACCAAAAGGGAAAAACGUUCUGUAUCCAGCAACAUAAGAUACAGCCAUGAGCAUAUGUUUUCUAAAAAUAGCCCUUGAAGAGAAGUUGUUGCACGAGAACAGACAUGGAGUCAUCAGAGAACCGUCUGUGGAUAUUUCUUUUCUCUCUGAGCGACUCUCCAAACACCACAACUUGACUCGCUGUCAACAGGGGGGAACUGGAGGAUCCUAUCCUAUCCAGCAGUGGUCCUGUGGUAAAACACAAGCAGCCAUGUAUCAGAUGAGCACCACAACGGCUCCAGAAUGCCACCGUCCGUAUACCCAUAUACUCUGGCCGGGGCCGUGACGUCAGAGGCGCUUGUGACAGACGACUGGGAGAGGUAGAUAAGCUACUGUGGUGGGCCCUGCUCAGGCCUGUCAAGAGAGUGCUACAACCCAAUGGCUACACAGCUCAAUCCUCUCACAUCUAGUGUGGAACCUACUUCUCGUGACCUCACUUUCACCCCUGCCUCUCGUGGACUCACUUUCACCCCUGACUCUCGUGGACUCACUUUCGCCCCUGCCUCUCGUGGACUCACUUUCACCCCUGCCUCUCGUGGACUCACUUUCACCCCUGCCACUCGCGGACUCACUUUCACCCCUGCCUCUCGUGGACUCACUUUCACCCCUGCCUCUCGUGGACUCACUUUCACCCCUGCCUCUCGUGGACUCUUGUGCUUUUGGAGAGGAAAUAACACCCCUCAAAUGUUGACAGUUGAAAGAAACUUCUGUGAAAAUUAAAGUCCAAGCUCUUUAAAAAGUA